UCGGAAUCCGAGGUCCGGAGCGUCUUCCCCAGCUCCGCGCUCGGCCAGGCCUGGAUCCGCUCAGCUUCCGUGUUUGGACCCGCGCCCAACUGCUCCCCUGGGACCAGACCCCAGUGCCCCAGGACCCUGGCACCUCCACGACACCAAGAACGGAGGGAAGAAUCCACUACCAGCAGCAGUUCCCUCGCCCCGAUGUCACCCACCAUCUGCACGUGGGCUCAGAGACCAGACUGUCCUAUUUUUUUCUCCACCCUCUUUAAACUAUUCUGUCCUGGAGUCUCCUCACCUCACAAGUCAAAUUCCAGGCACAAAACACUGCGGAGCCAUCUGUCCCCUUACCUGUCUUGAAUGAAGAGCAGAAAAGAGCAUGUGGAGGACAGAGGGGUGAGGGGUCCUCAAAGUGCUCCAGGCCUGCAUCAGGCUGAUCCUGGGUCCGAUAAGAGAAGAGGGAAAAAUUUCCAGCCCCUGCCUUGUGAAUUCAUUUCUGCUAGACUAAGUAAUGUCCAUUGCAUUAUCUUUUUUUUUUUCAUAAUUGGGUAAAACACACACACACACACAAAGAGAGCAUUGAAGAUGUAGAUUGGGUUAGAAAUUAGGAAACCACAAUUAGUUCCUUUUCCUGAGAGAGGGAGAGGAAAAAACCUUCACGGAUGUAUAUAAAGCACCAUCCCCAGACACACACACACACACACACACACACUUCAUUCUUACCUCCUUUAUUUCCCCUCCAACUUAUCUAAAUCACUGGCUGUGUACAAAUUUGCCGUUUUGCAGGGUGAAAGCUAGGUGCUAACAAGAAUAAUAUGGACACGGAGAUCUUUUCAUUUCGCCUCUGCCAAAAACAUAUUUACAUUAAAAGGAGGUACGAUAAGCAUG